rnacentral:rRNA from 1 species
GCAAUGGACGAAAGUCUGACCGAGCAACGCCGCGUGAGUGAAGAAGGUUUUCGGAUCGUAAAGCUCUGUUGUAAGUCAAGAACGUGUGUGAGAGUGGAAAGUUCACACAGUGACGGUAGCUUACCAGAAAGGGACGGCUAACUACGUGCCAGCAGCCGCGGUAAUACGUAGGUCCCGAGCGUUGUCCGGAUUUAUUGGGCGUAAAGGGAGCGCAGGCGGUCAGGAAAGUCUGGAGUAAAAGGCUAUGGCUCAACCAUAGUGUGCUCUGGAAACUGUCUGACUUGAGUGCAGAAGGGGAGAGUGGAAUUCCAUGUGUAGCGGUGAAAUGCGUAGAUAUAUGGAGGAACACCAGUGGCGAAAGCGGCUCUCUGGUCUGUCACUGACGCUGAGGCUCGAAAGCGUGGGUAGCGAACAGGAUUAGAUACCCUGGUAGUCCACGCCGUAAACGAUGAGUGCUAGGUGUUAGGCCCUUUCCGGGGCUUAGUGCCGGAACUAACGCAAUAAGCACUCCGCCUGGGGAGUACGACCGCAAGGUUGAAACUCAAAGGAAUUGACGGGGGCCCGCACAAGCGGUGGAGCAUGUGGUUUAAUUC